CACGUAGGGAGCAAGCGUUGUCCGGAAUCAUUGGGCGUAAAGCGCGCGUAGGUGGCUCCAUAAGUCCGUUGUGAAAGUCAAAGGCUCAACCUUUGAAAGCCGAUGGAUACUGUGGAGCUAGAGUACGGAAGAGGCGAGUGGAAUUCCUGGUGUAGCGGUGAAAUGCGCAGAUAUCAGGAAGAACACCAAUGGCGAAGGCAGCUCUCUGGGACGGUACUGACGCUGAGACGCGAAAAGCGUGGGGAGCGAACAGG
rnacentral:rRNA from 1 species